rnacentral:rRNA from 1 species
GAGUUACGAUUUGAUGCAAGGUUAAGCAGUAAAUGUGGAGCCGUAGCGAAAGCGAGUCUGAAUAGGGCGUUUAGUAUUUGGUCGUAGACCCGAAACCAGGUGAUCUACCCUUGGUCAGGUUGAAGUUCAGGUAACACUGAAUGGAGGACCGAACCGACUUACGUUGAAAAGUGAGCGGAUGAACUGAGGGUAGCGGAGAAAUUCCAAUCGAACCUGGAGAUAGCUGGUUCUCUCCGAAAUAGCUUUAGGGCUAGCCUCAAGUGAUGAUUAUUGGAGGUAGAGCACUGUUUGGACGAGGGGCCCCUCUCGGGUUACCGAAUUCAGACAAACUCCGAAUGCCAAUUAAUUUAACUUGGGAGUCAGAACAUGGGUGAUAAGGUCC